rnacentral:rRNA from 1 species
AGUGAACGCUGGCGGUAGGCCUAACACAUGCAAGUCGAACGGCAGCACAGUAAGAGCUUGCUCUUACGGGUGGCGAGUGGCGGACGGGUGAGGAAUACAUCGGAAUCUACUUUUUCGUGGGGGAUAACGUAGGGAAACUUACGCUAAUACCGCAUACGACCUACGGGUGAAAGCAGGGGAUCUUCGGACCUUGCGCGAUUGAAUGAGCCGAUGUCGGAUUAGCUAGUUGGCGGGGUAAAGGCCCACCAAGGCGACGAUCCGUAGCUGGUCUGAGAGGAUGAUCAGCCAAACUGGAACUGAGACAAGGUCCAGACUCCUAAGGGAGGCAGCAGGGGGGAAUAUUGGACAAUGGGCGCAAGCCUGAGCCAGCCAUACCGCGUGGGUGAAGAAGGCCUUCGGGUUGGAAAGCCCGUUUGUUGGGAAAGAAAAGCAGCAGGUUAAUACCCCGCUGUUCUGACGGUACCCAAAGAAUAAGCACCGGCUAACUUCGUG